rnacentral:rRNA from 1 species
UACGUAGGGUGCAAGCGUUAAUCGGAAUUACUGGGCGUAAAGCGUGCGCAGGCGGUUUUGUAAGUCUGUCGUGAAAUCCCCGGGCUCAACCUGGGAAUUGCGAUGGAGACUGCAAGGCUAGAAUCUGGCAGAGGGGGGGUAGAAUUCCACGUGUAGCAGUGAAAUGCGUAGAGAUGUGGAGGAACACUGAUGGCGAAGGCAGCCCCCUGGGUCAAGAUUGACGCUCAUGCACGAAAGCGUGGGGAGCAAACAGG